GAUGAACGCUGGCGGCGUGCCUAACACAUGCAAGUCGAACGGAAAGGCCCAAGCUUGCUUGGGUACUCGAGUGGCGAACGGGUGAGUAACACGUGGGUGAUCUGCCCUGCACUUCGGGAUAAGCCUGGGAAACUGGGUCUAAUACCGGAUAGGACCACAUUUUGGAUGGUGUGGUGGAAAGUUUUUCGGUGUGGGAUGAGCUCGCGGCCUAUCAGCUUGUUGGUGGGGUAAUGGCCUACCAAGGCGUCGACGGGUAGCCGGCCUGAGAGGGUGUACGGCCACAUUGGGACUGAGAUACGGCCCAGACUCCUACGGGAGGCAGCAGUGGGGAAUAUUGCACAAUGGGCGCAAGCCUGAUGCAGCGACGCCGCGUGGGGGAUGACGGCCUUCGGGUUGUAAACUCCUUUCGCUAGGGACGAAGCGUUAUGUGACGGUACCUGGAGAAGAAGCACCGGCUAACUACGUG
rnacentral:rRNA from 1 species